rnacentral:rRNA from 1 species
UACAGAGGGUGCAAGCGUUAAUCGGAAUUACUGGGCGUAAAGGGUGCGUAGGCGGUUCGUUAAGUCUGUCGUGAAAUCCCCGGGCUCAACCCGGGAAUGGCGAUGGAUACUGGCGAGCUAGAGUGUGUCAGAGGAUGGUGGAAUUCCCGGUGUAGCGGUGAAAUGCGUAGAGAUCGGGAGGAACAUCAGUGGCGAAGGCGGCCAUCUGGGACAACACUGACGCUGAAGCACGAAAGCGUGGGGAGCAAACAGG